rnacentral:rRNA from 1 species
GGGUUGUGAGGUUAAGCGACUAAGCGUACACGGUGGAUGCCCUGGCAGUCAGAGGCGAUGAAGGACGUGCUAAUCUGCGAAAAGCGUCGGUAAGGUGAUAUGAACCGUUAUAGCCGGCGAUGUCCGAAUGGGGAAACCCAGUGCAAUUCGUUGCACUAUCGUUAACUGAAUACAUAGGUUAACGAGGCGAACCGGGGGAACUGAAACAUCUAAGUACCCCGAGGAAAAGAAAUCAACCGAGAUUCCCCCAGUAGCGGCGAGCGAACGGGGAGCAGCCCAGAGUCUGAAUCAGCUUGUGUGUUAGUGGAACGGUCUGGAAAGUCCGACGGUACAGGGUGAUAGUCCCGUACACCAAAAUGCACAGGUUGUGAACUCGAAGAGUAGGGCGGGACACGUGGUAUCCUGUCUGAAUAUGGGGGGACCAUCCUCCAAGGCUAAAUACUCCUGACUGACCGAUAGUGAACCAGUACCGUGAGGGAAAGGCGAAAAGAACCCCGGCGAGGGGAGUGAAAAAGAACCUGAAACCGUGUACGUACAAGCAGUGGGAGCACCUUCGGGUGUGACUGCGUACCUUUUGUAUAAUGGGUCAGCGACUUAUAUUCUGUAGCAAGGUUAACCGUAUAGGGGAGCCGCAGGGAAACCGAGUCUUAACUGGGCGUUAAGUUGCAGGGUAUAGACCCGAAACCCGGUGAUCUAGCCAUGGGCAGGUUGAAGGUUGGGUAACACUAACUGGAGGACCGAACCGACUAAUGUUGAAAAAUUAGCGGAUGACUUGUGGCUGGGGGUGAAAGGCCAAUCAAACCGGGAGAUAGCUGGUUCUCCCCGAAAGCUAUUUAGGUAGCGCCUCGUGAAUUCAUCUUCGGGGGUAGAGCACUGUUUCGGCUAGGGGGUCAUCCCGACUUACCAACCCGAUGCAAACUACGAAUACCGAAGAAUGUUAUCACGGGAGACACACGGCGGGUGCUAACGUCCGUCGUGAAGAGGGAAACAACCCAGACCGCCAGCUAAGGUCCCAAAGUCAUGGUUAAGUGGGAAACGAUGUGGGAAGGCACAGACAGCCAGGAUGUUGGCUUAGAAGCAGCCAUCAUUUAAAGAAAGCGUAAUAGCUCACUGGUCGAGUCGGCCUGCGCGGAAGAUGUAACGGGGCUAAACCAUGCACCGAAGCUGCGGCAGCGACACUAUGUGUUGUUGGGUAGGGGAGCGUUCUGUAAGCCUGCGAAGGUGACCUGUGAGGGUUGCUGGAGGUAUCAGAAGUGCGAAUGCUGACAUAAGUAACGAUAAAGCGGGUGAAAAGCCCGCUCGCCGGAAGACCAAGGGUUCCUGUCCAACGUUAAUCGGGGCAGGGUGAGUCGACCCCUAAGGCGAGGCCGAAAGGCGUAGUCGAUGGGAAACAGGUUAAUAUUCCUGUACUUGGUGUUACUGCGAAGGGGGGACGGAGAAGGCUAUGUUAGCCGGGCGACGGUUGUCCCGGUUUAAGCAUGUAGGCUGGUUGUCCAGGCAAAUCCGGAUAAUCAAGGCUGAGGUGUGAUGACGAGGCACUACGGUGCUGAAGUAACAAAUGCCCUGCUUCCAGGAAAAGCCUCUAAGCAUCAGGUAACAUCAAAUCGUACCCCAAACCGACACAGGUGGUCAGGUAGAGAAUACCAAGGCGCUUGAGAGAACUCGGGUGAAGGAACUAGGCAAAAUGGUGCCGUAACUUCGGGAGAAGGCACGCUGGUGUGUAGGUGAAG